GGGUCUGUCUGCUUAUCCCUAGACUGGGAGAAGAAACCCCGAGCCCUUCCUUUAGCGCAAGUCUUGGAACUUCCUCCUCCGCCCCAGGAGACCCAGUCCCAGGGUAGCUGGUGUCCAAGGUGGCCGCGCAGCUGGGAUGUUCAGAGAAGGGAGAGGGGCUUCGCUCAGCAGAAGCUGGAUCAGCACGGACAGAACACCUCCGCUCUGCUCCACAGUCCCCGGCGAACUCAGGGGACAGAGCACCGAAUCUUGAUCCGCUGCCUUUGAAAGAAAGAUCAGGGCUCUAGAAGCCAAGUUUGGCUCAGUCCUAACCUCCUCGCCGUUCGGGCGGUGGUCCUUGCCGUGGCACCUGGGCUGUGGACAGCCGGGCGUGUCAUUGUGUGCGGGUGUAGCCGAUUACCGGCAGGUGGACCCAGAGGGGUCCCACAGGACCAGCCAGCCAAGAGGGUCCUGGGCCUCAUGCAGCAGAGAAAUCAGGCGUGAGUGGAGAGGAAGUGGGCACAGUUUGUUGAGGACGUACAGACAGACGCGGACAAUGUCUAGGAGGCCUGGAAAGGGAACAAGAGUCUCAUGUCUGCUUGGGGCCUGGGGUUUUUGCGGAGGGUGGCGGUUCGGUGCACGUGUCUUCCGAGGCAUCCAGAACAGAGAGGGGUUAGGUGUUCGCCGUUAAGUCCCUGCUCUGAGCCAGGGGUCUUGAUGAGUCGGUGGUCUUGGAAAACGUUCGGGACGACUCCCGCCCCGUCACUCCUUAGAUGUCAUCUGUUUUGCUGGAAGACUCCAAAGGAACCAUUAAUCCCUUGACCUUUACCAGGAGGACAUACAUCAUCUGUGUCCGUGAGGUUCUCUGUCUCACGCUACCCAGGCGGCAUGCGCAGUCCCUCUAAAAUACCCAACGGAGCCGUCCCCGGCCAACGUGUGACCUGUGCAGAUGGAGCCUGGCGAGUCUGGCAUUUACCUGUGCUUCGUUAGAAUGUUACACUCUUCGCCCGAGGAGCGCAAGAGAGAGACAGAGCAUGAACAGGGGAGGAGCAGAGAAAGAGGGAGACACAGAAUCGGA